rnacentral:rRNA from 1 species
GACGAACGCUGGCGGCGUGCUUAACACAUGCAAGUCGAACGGAAAGGCCCUGCUUUUGUGGGGUGCUCGAGUGGCGAACGGGUGAGUAACACGUGAGUAACCUGCCCUUGACUUUGGGAUAACUUCAGGAAACUGGGGCUAAUACCGGAUAGGAGCUCCUGCUGCAUGGUGUGUGUUGGAAAGUUUCGGCGGUUUGGGAUGGACUCGCGGCUUAUCAGCUUGUUGGUGGGGUAGUGGCUUACCAAGGCUUUGACGGGUAGCCGGCCUGAGAGGGUGACCGGCCACAUUGGGACUGAGAUACGGCCCAGAGUGCUACGGGAGGCAGCAGUGGGGAAUAUUGCACAAUGGGCGGAAGCCGGAUGCAGCAACGCCGCGUGCGGGAUGGCGGCCUUCGGGUUGUAACCCGCUUUCGCCUGUGACGAAGAGUGAGUGACGGUAAUGGGUAAAGAAGCACCGGCUAACUACGUG